UGCUGGAGGCCAGGGCGAUGCCAUCAAGGGAAACUAUAUCUUUAGAUAAUGCGUCAUAGAGGUGCUUAGAGUUCAUUUGCGCAGAGUCAAAAACUUUCUCUUGAGGCGCCUCCCUGACGUUUUGCCUAACAUUCAUAUGCAUGCCUGGUUGAAUAUUCAAAUAGACAAGCUUUAUGCUUAUGUGCACUACGUUUCUGUUCUAUUCUGCUUUCAUGGCUCUUUCUUUCUUUCUUUCUUUCUCUCUCUUUUUCUCUCUCUCUCUUUCCCUCUCUCCCCAUGAUGAUGCAUUAAGGUUUAUUGGCUAAAAUAUCGGGGGCUAUAGAUUGACUCUGAACUAUCAUAUAAAAAGCAAAUAGACUAUAUGUGUAAAAAGGUUUGCUGUUCUAUCUGUGUUUUGUACAGAUCAAAGAACUGUUUCACCAUGAAUGUAAAAGAGAGGCUGGUAUCCCAGUUGUUAUUGCAUGUUCUCGACUACAGAGAUAUUGUGUAGCCUAUCAAAAUGCUUCAAAAACUGAUUUAGCAAAGGUUGAUAUCACAUUUAAUAGUUUAUGCAGAUUUAUUCUCACUUGUCACUUUCUGUCCUGUUAUCUCGGUGUCUGCCUUAGCUUCUGUCUGUGUUCCUUGUUGGUGUUAGUUCAUUUGUGAUCUGUCCACUUGUUUAUAUUACUCUGAUGUUCAGUGUUGAGUAACUUGUGUUUUGUCUUUUCCCCCCUCAGUAAUCUGCCUGCCUGCUAGUCUCCGUUUUCCCUUCUGUCUCUCUGCCUCGUUAACCCUGAUCCCAGUCACCUGUGUUGCUCCCGUCCUGCUCGUUAGUCACUGUGUAUAAAUGUCUGGUGUUUCUGUUCAUUUCCUGUCCAGUCAUUGUCUUGUGUCAGUCCUGUUGGAUGUUGCUGCUUUUUGGAUGUACCAGUUCCUGUACUCGUGAGUUCUGUUCAUGUGUGUUUGGAACUCAAUCACAGCUCACAGUGUCAUGCGUUUGGGCUCACUCCUGCUGCACUCACUCAGCAAACCCUGAUAAUAUGUACUAUAACUACGCAAACAGGCAAACAUCUCUCUCUCAUCUGUACAGCGUUCCUUACCAACCGCUCCAUGGUGGUGGCUAUAAACUGUCCAUGAGGAAAUGAUUUGAAAAAGAGAAGCAUUUGGAAAGAAAAGUGACACUCUCCUGGGAUGGGCUGUAAACCAUUGUGAAUUGCCACAUUGCCCCAUAUAAUUGCAAAAUGUCUGGAAUCUGCCUUACUUGUAUCUUUUCCUCACCUGGCACAAAUCUUUCAAAAAGGUCAUCAAGGAAUAAAAAUAGGCACUUAUCCUGA